rnacentral:rRNA from 1 species
GAGUUUGAUCCUGGCUCAGGACGAACGCUGGCGGCGUGCUUAACACAUGCAAGUCGAACGGGGUUUAGUCGAAAGAUUACUUUUAACUAAACCUAGUGGCGGACGGGUGAGUAACGCGUGGAUAACCUGCCCACUAGACUGGGAUAACGCCGGGAAACCGGUGCUAAUACCGGAUACGUUCACCGGAUUGCAUAAUCUGGUGAAGAAAGGUGCAAACCGCUAAUGGAUGGGUCCGCGUCCCAUUAGCUAGUUGGUAGGGUAACGGCCUACCAAGGCCACGAUGGGUAGCCGGCCUGAGAGGGCGACCGGCCACACUGGAACUGAGACACGGUCCAGACUCCUACGGGAGGCAGCAGUGGGGAAUCUUCCGCAAUGGGCGCAAGCCUGACGGAGCAACGCCGCGUGAGUGACGAAGGUCUUCGGAUUGUAAAACUCUGUCCAUAGGGAAGAACCAACUGACGGUACCUUUGGAGGAAGCCCCGGCUAACUACGUGCCAGCAGCCGCGGUAACACGUAGGGGGCGAGCGUUGUCCGGAAUUACUGGGCGUAAAGGGCGUGUAGGCGGCCAAGUAAGUCAGUCGUGAAACCCAGCGGCUUAACCGCUGGCUUGCGAUAGAAACUGCCUGGCUUGAGUGCAGUAGAGGGGAGUGGAAUUCCCAGUGUAGCGGUGAAAUGCGUAGAUAUUGGGAGGAACACCAGUGGCGAAAGCGGCUCCCUGGCCUGCAACUGACGCUGAGGCGCGAAAGCGUGGGUAGCAAACAGGAUUAGAUACCCUGGUAGUCCACGCCGUAAACGAUGGGUGCUAGGUGUUGGGGGUAUCGACCCCCCCAGUGCCGCAGUUAACGCAUUAAGCACCCCGCCUGG